rnacentral:rRNA from 1 species
ACUGCUCAGUAACACGUGGACAACNUACCCUCCGGACGGGUAUAAACCCGGGAAACUGGGUAUAAUCCCCGAUAGAUCUCGGUCGCUGGAAAGCCCCGAGAUCGAAAGCUCCGGCGCCAGAGGAUGGGUCUGCGGCCUAUCAGGUAGUAGUGGGUGUAGCGUACCUACUAGCCUACGACGGGUACGGGUUGUGAGAGCAAGAGCCCGGAGAUGGAUUCUGAGACACGAAUCCAGGCCCUACGGGGUGCAGCAGGCGCGGAAACUUUACAAUGCCGGCAACGGCGAUAAGGGGACCUCGAGUGCCAGGUUACAAAUCUGGCUGUCGUGAUGCCUAAAAAGCAUUGCAUAGCAAGGGCCGGGCAAGACCGGUGCCAGCCGCCGCGGUAACACCGGCGGCUCGAGUGGUAACCGUUAUUAUUGGGCCUAAAGGGUCUGUAGCCGGCCAGAUAAGUCUCUUGAGAAAUCCAGCAGCUCAACUGUUGGGCUUUCAGGAGAUACUGUCUGGCUCGAGGCCGGGAGAGGUGAGAGGUACUUCAGGGGUAGGGGUGAAAUCUUGUAAUCCUUGAAGGACCACCAGUGGCGAAGGCGUCUCACCAGAACGGACCUGACGGCAAGGGACGAAAGCUAGGGGCACGAACCGGAUUAGAUACCCGGGUAGCCCUAGCCGUAAACGAUACUCGCUAGGUGUCGGCCACGGUGCGACCGUUGUCGGUGCCGUAGGGAAGCCGUGAAGCGAGCCACCUGGGAAGUACGGCCGCAAGGCUGAAACUUAAAGGAAUUGGCGGGGGAGCAC